rnacentral:rRNA from 1 species
GGGCCCGCACAAGCGGUGGAGCAUGUGGUUUAAUUCGAUGAUACGCGAGGAACCUUACCAGGGCUUAAAUGUAACGGGACAGAUCUAGAGAUAGAUCCUUCUUCGGACUCAUUACAAGGUGCUGCAUGGUUGUCGUCAGCUCGUGCCGUGAGGUGUCAGGUUAAGUCCUAUAACGAGCGCAACCCCCAUCGUUAGUUGCCAACGAGUAAUGUCGGGAACUCUAACGAAACUGCCGGUGCAAAACCGUGAGGAAGGUGGGGGAUGACGUCAAAUCAUCACGGCCCUUACGUCCUGGGCUACACACGUGCUACAAUGGUAUCUACAACAGGAAGCAAGCGGCGACGUC